AUGCUCACUCUGGUAGCACAUAUACUAAAAUUGGAACAAUACAGAGAUUAGCAUGGCCCCUGUGCAAGGAUGACACACAAAUUCAUGAAGCAUUCCAUAUUUUU